UACGUAGGGGGCUAGCGUUGUCCGGAAUCAUUGGGCGUAAAGCGCGUGUAGGCGGUUCGGUAAGUCCGCUGUGAAAGUCGGGGGCUCAACCCUCGAAUGCCGGUGGAUACUGUCGGACUAGAGUACGGAAGAGGCGAGUGGAAUUCCUGGCGUAGCGGUGAAAUGCGCAGAUAUCAGGAGGAACACCAAUUGCGAAGGCAGCUCGCUGGGACGUUACUGACGCUGAGACGCGAAAGCGUGGGGAGCAAACAGG
rnacentral:rRNA from 1 species